rnacentral:lncRNA from 1 species
AAUUACGCUUUUGGAGAAAGCUGCAGAAUCUCUAGGUCUGUGAUUUUAUUUUAAUUUUUUCCCUGUCAGUAUUUCUUAAAAUUAUUUUUCAUACUUUUUCACAACAUACUUUCCAACUGACAUGGUAUGAAGAAAUAAUCCUAAGGAAUUCAGUGGAAAAUUAUAGAACAUCAUUUACUUCCCAGCCCCAGGCAACCAUCAUUCUACUUUCUGUCUCUGUGCAUUUGACUGCUCUGGGUACCAUAGGUGAGUGGAAUCAUACAGUAUUUGUCCUUCUGUAACUGGCUUAUUUUA